AUACUUACCUAGCAGGGGAGAAAACAUGAUUAUAAAGUUGGUUUCCCAGGGCAAGACUUAUUCAUUGCACUUUGGAUGUGCUAACCCCCUACAAUUUCCCCAAAUAUGGGAAACUCAGGUGCAGAAUUUGUGGUAGCGGUAGACUAUAUUUGCACUCUCCUC